GCAAACUUGGUCAUUUAGAGGAAGUAAAAGUCGUAACAAGGUUUCCGUAGGUGAACCUGCGGAAGGAUCAUUCACAAUAAGUGUUUAUGGCACUUUCAAAUCCAUACCCACCUUGUGUGCAAUGUCAAGAGCCCUUUCAACUCUUCUCCGAAGGGAAAGACUGGGCUUCAUUUUCUUCUCACUCGUCUUCAAUUGCAAGUCUAAGAUUCAGAGUAAUCAAAAACUCGAAUACAACUUUCAACAACGGAUCUCUUGGCUCUCGCAUCGAUGAAGAACGCAGC
rnacentral:misc_RNA from 1 species